UACGUAGGGUGCGAGCGUUAAUCGGAAUUACUGGGCGUAAAGGGCGCGUAGGCGGUUUCGUAAGUCCUGUGUGAAAUCCCCCGGCUCAACUGGGGAACUGCACAGGAAACUGCGAGGCUUGAGUUCGGGAGAGGGAAGCGGAAUUCCGGGUGUAGCGGUGAAAUGCGUAGAUAUCCGGAGGAACACCGGUGGCGAAGGCGGCUUCCUGGACCGACACUGACGCUGAGGCGCGAAAGCCAGGGGAGCAAACGGG
rnacentral:rRNA from 1 species